CCCCCCCCCGAUUCAUUCAGCUCCAGCUUCUAGUCAAAGGCGGCUCUGUUCUCUGUUAAUACCUUACUUCAUUUUCUCUUUGUCGUGCAGCUUCAGGCUCCACUUGAGCCGGUUCUCCCUGCACCGGUCCCCCCGUCAGUGCGCAGCUGUUUCUCGGCACUCCCACAUCUGCUGGUCUCGGGCUCGGCGGCCCUGCAGACGACGCUCCGCCGCGGAGCGUGCACGUCGAGGCGGCGGCGACCAGCGCUGGGUCUGCGGGCUGAUCACUGCUCACACACGGCGGCGUGGAACAGCUUCGGCAGCGUGUCCCGAGAAUGGAAGAAGGUAAAAGAAGAGGAGAAAGAAGAAGAAGAAGAAGAAGAAGAAGAAGUGAUGUUUUGGCGCCGUUUGAUGCUCGGCAGGUACAUGUGAAACCUGGAAAUCUCUGGCAACCUCGGGUCGGGGUUCCCCGGAUUCAUCUGCAGCGCUCGGUCGGGACGCUGGGGGGACGCUGGGGGGACCCGGAUGGGACGCAGCUGCGGGACAGGUCAUGUGUACAGGCUGUUUAUUGUCUUUAUUCAAAUAAUGGAGCAUUAGUUUUUAACGGCACGCAAUAUCAGAAGGAGCAUUUAAUAGUUGGUUAGGUCAGUGGUUCCCAAACUUUUUUGCGUAAACAGACCAGACUAGACCCGACCAGUGACAGGAUUUCGUCCCCAGGGGGUCCCCCAUGUGAUAGAAUUUGUGCUUUUAAAUGUAUUAUUACAGAAAAUGUAUGCAACCCAUGACCAACCGAGUAGAGCUGUAACGACAAGUCGACAAAUCGAUUAGUCGAUCGAUAGAAAAAUAAACAACCAACUAUUUAGAUAAUCGAUUAAUCGUUAAAGUUAUUUUUCAUGCAAAAAUGGCAGAUAUGGACAGGCCCUGCUGUUUUCUGUUUGACAUCAUAUUAAACCGAAAAUCUUUGGGUUUUGGACGGACAAAACGAGACAUUUAAAGACACAUCAGCCUGGACUUUGAGAAACUGGGAUAGACAUUUUCCACUAUCUUCUUACAUUUUAUAGACUUACCGAUUAAUCAAGCCAGGCCUGUAGUACUCGAGUCCGGUCUUGGACUCAAGUCCGGACUCAAGACCGUUUUUCUGUGGUCUCGGCUUGUCUCGGACUCGCUAGUAGCUGGACUCGGACUUGUCUCGGUCUCGGCCACUGGUCUUGUCAAGUAUGGCUUCUGGUCUGGACCGAGUCCAGGUGUCUUUAUUAUGUUGAUAAUAAUAUUGGAGGGAAAUGAUUGUCUUGAUACUGUCAUGCAUGAGACCUUUAUUCUGUCCUGGACUCGGUCUUGACUCGGACUCAAACCUCUUUGGACUCGGCCUUGACUUGGACUCAACUAGUCCUGGUCUUGGAAUUGGCUUGGACUUGACUAAGGUGGUCUUGACUACAGCCCUGAAUCAAGCCAGCUUAAUCAGGAGGGACGGUUGGGUUGCGUCCCGCUUUUUUUUCCUGCUGCUUUGUGUUGUGUGUUCCUCUCCAGUUCCACUGAUGGGAAAGCAGACGUGGGGGGGCGGGGGGGGGGGCACGCACCGCCGGCUGGACCUCCGGAGUUCCAUCACGACUCCAUCGCACCCGGCUGCGCCGCCUCACACACUAGUCCUUGCUCCUGCAGUGAUGGAUGCACGGUGUCAUCACUGCUGUCCUGCACCUUCAGAAGGAGACGAUCCCCGUCAGAGUGUUUCCCCACCGAGAGACGACUUCUUCUUCUGCUGCUGCUGCUCGUCAGUGAAAAAGGCUUCGACGAGUCCAGAACGCCACCGCUGCUUCGUAGUCAGUGUCGGCAAAACCAGAUUUAGCAGCAGGAAGCUCUUUCACGUGUGGUGUUUCGAGUCCAACGUAAUCUGCUGCUUCCGGUUUCCGUUGUCGUCCGUGCGUGUCUCCCCAGCUGGAUGUGAGUAACAGGCUCCUGAUGUAGCUGAGCGGGGACGGAGCAGUGGAUGUGACACAUAUCUUUGGUGUGGGAGAUCUGGGUUCAUUUCCCACUGCGGUGCAUCAACCAAUGUGUCCCUGAGGAAGACACUCAACCACUAGUUGCUCCAGAGGCGUGUGGCCUCGGACAUAUGUAGCAGUGCUUAGUUGCUUUGGGUAAUUGGCUGAUGAAAAGCACAGACGCUGCAGCUAUCAAACACCUCUCAUGCUUGUUUUCUUCAGCUGCCGUGUGCAGUGACCUGCUGAAGACUUUGGCCACUUCUCCUUGUAUAAGACUCAUACUCUGUUCUGUUACCUGGGUUCAUAGAGGACUUGCGUGCCCAUAUAAAACAAUAUGCAGUUAAAGUUGAUCAUUUUAGACCCUUAUUGUGACCAUUUCUGGGUCUAAAAUGUUUGAAAAGCUAGAGCAGAUGAUAAAAAAAGAAACGCUUAAAAAGCCUAAAGACAGAACUUGCUAAAUAGAAAAGUCAUUUAGUUAGUUAGUUAGUCUUGAUGCUCUCAUUGACUUUACAUUCAUUUGUUGCUGCGUCCAAGCCUUAUUUGGGUUGGGAGAACCUGGAAUUAGACAUUUAAAUCCACUAGAAGUUGUGUUGUGACAUGUAUCUUGGCCAGAUCCAGAACAGAAAAGCUCUGAUAUAUUUAAGGUGUGUGAGAACGAGGAGUUUUCUCACGUGGGGACAAUGUGUGAUUCACACAGUAUGUUCUUGGUCUCAAAACGUAUUCGCUUGGGUGUGAUACCCUAAAUACGUACUCAAUGUAUUUUUACUGUAGCGUGUGGGCGUGUGUGUGUGUGUGUCUGCGUGAGUGUGCUGUGAGUGUGCUGUGUGUGUGUGUGUGUGUGGGAGAGUAUGUGUGUCUGCUUGAGUGUAUUGUGUGUCUGUGUGUGUCAGCGUGAGUACACCUGUUCGUGUGCAUGUGCUCUGUGUGUGUGUGUGUGUGUGUGUGUGUGUGUGUAUGUGUGUGGGUGAGUGCACCUGUUUGUGUGCAUGUGCUGUGUGUGUGUCUGUCUGCGUGAGUGCUGUGUGUCUGUGUCUGCGUGAGAGUGCACGUGUGUGUGCGUGUGCGUGUGUGUGUGCGUGUGUGUGCGUGUGUGUGUGUGUGUGUGUGCGCUCCUGUCUGAUUAAACACAUUUGUAAUAGGCCUGAAGCCUCUAGCUGCUUUUCAGUUUCCAAAUGCCUGAAUUUCUUUCUCUUAGUGCACUGGAUGUACCAGGGAUAAAAAAA